UUUUUUUGAGAGAUAGGUAGCACGCUAUCUGUUUCGCUUUAUUUCAUUUAGAAAUAAACUUAGCUAGAAAUGUGAAUCAACUAGGAUUCGAAUUUGGGUCUCGGGUACCAACCACCAAACCUUUUGCCACUUGCUCUAAGGACGGUCGGUCCAACUAACAUUAUUAAGUGACAAAAAAAUUAGUGGUUGGUAUUCAAAGAUCCUAAGUUCGAAUUCUAAUUAAUUCAUAUUUUCAGUUAAGUUUGUUUCUAAAAAAAAUAAAUGAAGCGGAUAGCAUAUACUAUCUUUCUCUCUCUCAUCAAAAAAAAAAAAAGGAAAAUAUUUAUUUUUUAUUUAAAAUUUAUUUCUUUAAUUGAUGUAGCUGGAACUAUAAACAAUAUGAACGUACUUCAAACUAGAGGUGGCAAUUUAACUCGCUGUUCGCAAGGCAGCUCGUGUUGGGCUCGGAAUGAGCUCGAGAUCGAAUCACUCGUUUAGUAAAUGAGCCAAGGACGAGCUGAAAUUUUGACGAGAUGGGAUCAGCUCGCUCGUGUUCGGCUCGAUAACAGCUCGAAUAU
rnacentral:lncRNA from 1 species